rnacentral:lncRNA from 1 species
GGGGAGCGGGGUGGGGAGGGUAUGUAUCUCUCGUGUCUGGAAUGUGCCUGUAUCGGGGUGUGUUGUUGUAUGUAUCACUCUUGUCAAAUGUGCCUUUAUGUGCUGGAGAUCGUAUCUUUUCGGCAAGGACCGCAUUGUGCAGUGUGGUUUUGCAUGUCUAAUAAUUCUAUACAUAGAUGAGAAAAAGAUAAUUUAAAGUAGUGUUAUCACUACCAGCUGGCCGUGAUUGAUUGCGAUGUACUUGGAAUAGUGUAUUUUGUCGGGGUGCCGGCACUUAGGGUACAUUAAGUUUCUUUUGUUCAUAAGAGGUAGUGUGCAUCCAUUUUAGAGGGGAUUCCUGUGUAAAACUAAAUUCAACAGACAUAAU